UUACGGUCAGAUCACGUUGCCAAACCAUUUUCCGUGCGAUCGCCGAAGUUAAGCAACGUCGAGCCUGGUCAGUACCUAGAUGGGUGAUAGCUUGGGAAUACCCAGUGCUGUAA